AGCCCAUAGAAUUGCCAUCAGCAAACAUUUUCCUGUGUCAUAUUAGCCAGUCUCCAUGGCUCCCCCUGGCCUGGGGACAAUGGCACAAGUUUGCACACUUGGCUACUGUCACCGUGCCAACGCCGGCGUGGCUGCAGGCAGGGCCACUGGCUCAGAGCAAGCAAGGGAGCCCAGAGCCAGCGCUGACCCUGCCCACCACUGGCUGGAGAGAAGGUCCACGAAGGUGAACCCCAGGGAAGCACAGAGCUGGGCUGUAGGUCGCUCUGUGACUCCAGGGACUCGAAUGCCCUUAGCCAGUGAACAGUGCUCAUGGUUGCUGAAGCUCUGCUCAAUGAUGGAUUCUCCACACUUCUUCAGGGCUGUGGCUCUCAUAAAAGCCAGGAGCACAUUCCCCGAUGGCAUCCCUACUUCAGUUCUGGAGAGCUCUGCAAAAGUCAGCAAGCUGAGCUGACUCAAGCCAAAGAACUCAGUGAGCUGGGGCGGGCACCUCUCCCUGCCUGACCAGGGUCACUGCAGAGGUCUCUGACUUCUGGCUCCAGGCUCCUCUGACACCAGACUGUGGUAGUGGGAGGUUCCGUUUGGUCCAAGGACCAAGGACAGAGACCCUGCAGACCUUCCUGGGUGUCACAAUUAUCCUCUUUUUUUUUUUUUUUUUUUGGUACCA